rnacentral:rRNA from 1 species
UACGUAGGGGGCUAGCGUUGUCCGGAUUUAUUGGGCGUAAAGAGCGUGUAGGCGGCCAUGUAGGUCCGGUGUGAAAACUCGAGGCUUAACCUCGAGAUGUCAUCGGAAACCAUUUGGCUAGAGUCCGGAAGAGGAGAGUGGAAUUCCUGGUGUAGCGGUGAAAUGCGCAGAUAUCAGGAAGAACACCAAUGGCGAAGGCAGCCCCCUGGGCUAGCACUGACGCUCAUGCACAAAAGCGUGGGGAGCAAACAGG